UACGUAGGGGGCAAGCGUUGUUCGGAAUUACUGGGCGUAGAGGGCGCGUAGGCGGCAUGGCAAGUCGGGAGUGAAAGGCCUGGGCUCAACCGAGGAACUGCUUUCGAGACUGCCAAGCUAGAGUGCGGAAGGGGCAUCUGGAAUUCCCAGUGUAGCGGUGAAAUGCGUAGAUAUUGGGAAGAACACCUGAGGCGAAGGCGGGAUGCUGGGCCGACACUGACGCUGAGGCGCGAAAGCCAGGGGAGCAAACGGG
rnacentral:rRNA from 1 species